GUGGUAAUGCCGGAUGCUCCAUCACACCGCAUGGUGUGUUGGGAAAGCCUUUGCGGCAUGGGAUGGGGUCGCGUCCUAUCAGCUUGAUGGCGGGGUAACGGCCCACCAUGGCUUCGACGGGUAGCCGGCCUGAGAGGGCGACCGGCCACAUUGGGACUGAGAUACGGCCCAGACUCCUACGGGAGGCAGCAGUGGGGAAUAUUGCACAAUGGGCGCAAGCCUGAUGCAGCGACGCCGCGUGAGGGAUGGAGGCCUUCGGGUUGUAAACCUCUUUUGUUAGGGAGCAAGGCAUUUUGUGUUGAGUGUACCUUUCGAAUAAGCACCGGCUAACUACGUGCCAGCAGCCGCGGUAAUACGUAGGGUGCAAGCGUUAUCCGGAAUUAUUGGGCGUAAAGGGCUCGUAGGCGGUUCGUCGCGUCCGGUGUGAAAGUCCAUCGCUUAACGGUGGAUCCGCGCCGGGUACGGGCGGGCUUGAGUGCGGUAGGGGAGACUGGAAUUCCCGGUGUAACGGUGGAAUGUGUAGAUA
rnacentral:rRNA from 1 species